rnacentral:tRNA from 1 species
UUUAAUUGAAACCAAAUAGAGGUAUAUCACUGUUAAUGAUAUCAAUGAGACAAAUCUCCAAUUAA